UACGUAGGGGGCAAGCGUUGUCCGGAUUUAUUGGGCGUAAAGAGCGUGUAGGCGGCCAAGCAGGUCCGCUGUGAAAACUCGAGGCUCAACCUCGAGAGGUCGGUGGAAACCGUUUGGCUAGAGUCCGGAAGAGGAGAGUGGAAUUCCCGGUGUAGCGGUGAAAUGCGCAGAUAUCGGGAGGAACACCUAUGGCGAAGGCAGCUCGCUGGGACGUUACUGACGCUGAGACGCGAAAGCGUGGGGAGCAAACAGG
rnacentral:rRNA from 1 species